AGACCAUGAUGAGGACAAUGCUGAAGUAGAUCUUUGUAUCUUUCCCAAGCCACGUACAAUGCUUUAUAAUCUAGUUGCAUGAAUGAUGUGAUAUUAUUCCUCAUUUU
rnacentral:snoRNA from 1 species